UGUCUUCCUUGGUUCCCCUCUUUGGACACAGCUUCACUCGGGAUGCGUGAAUCCAGAUGUCAUGGGAAUCUGUGAGGACAGCGGUUCUGGUUACAGCAAUCACAGUAGCAGGUGGUCCAAAAGGGUAUCCUCCUUUCUUGGUCCUGUUCAGCUGACGGAUAUACACCUUGUCACCGGGCUGGUAUGAAUAAGUAGGUUCCUGUGAAGGUAAGGGAAAACUGCGAAGAAACAUUGUCAUACAUACCAUUCAGUUUUAUCAACAACUCCUGUACAUAUUGUUCUUGUAUUAGCUGUAAAUCCCCAGACAUUAUAACAAGCGGUUCCCUGGCCCAGGGUGUGGGAAAAGGUCAUCCCAUCAAAAAUCUCAGAUGGAGAUAAUUUAGUCACCUUGUGGGGAUUCAUUCUUAUCUCAGCUAAAAUAGCUGGUAGAUAUCUAGUCCAAUUUACCCAUGUUCCUGGGUAAAUUCUGGGCUUUUCCUUAAUAGUCCUAUUCAUCCUUUCAACUACCCCUGUAUUCUGUGGAUGAUAGGGUAUAUGAAACUGCCAGGUAACUUGCAAGAAUUUAGCAAGUUCCUGGGCAACCCCACUUGCAAAUACUGGGCGAUUAUCAGAGCCAAUCUGCAGAGGGCAGCCAUACCUGGGAAUAAUUUCAGUAACAAUAAUCUUCACUAGCAUCUUCCCUAGAUGUCACAAAGGCCUCAUGCCAUCUACUAAACUGAUCAACUAUGACCAGUAAGUAUUGCUGUUUCUUACCAAUUUUGGAUACAUGAAUAAAAUCA